CGCAUAUUGCGCCCAUUGGUAUUCCAUUGGGCAUGUCUGUUUGAGCGUCAUUACAAACCCUCGACUUUGGUCGGUAUUGAGCUGGCUUUUCGGGUGCAAACCCAAGCUGGUUUUAAAGUUGUAGGCUUUGCUGACUGCUGCUCCAAACCAAAAACAUAGUAAAUCAUACUUGUUGAUGGCGGGGCGGUUCCAGCCUGGAAAAUGACACUUGUGGUUUGACCUCAGAUCAGACAAGGAUACCCGCUGAACUUAA
rnacentral:misc_RNA from 1 species